rnacentral:rRNA from 1 species
UAGGGGAAUCUUCCACAAUGGACGCAAGUCUGAUGGAGCAACGCCGCGUGAGUGAAGAAGGUUUUCGGAUCGUAAAGCUCUGUUGUUGGUGAAGAAGGAUAGAGGUAGUAACUGGCCUUUAUUUGACGGUAAUCAACCAGAAAGUCACGGCUAACUACGCGCCAG